GCGGGUGGCACCGGCGCGAGCGCGCGUGGAGGCGGCACUCGGGAGGCAGCGAUCCGAGCUGCAGGCCCUCAAGGGUCCCUCAGGAGUGCGCGACAGGGGCCGGUGGCUCCCGCGCUAUUGCAGGAGCUAACGAAAUUCUUUGUGCACAGCCUGAGGAGUUGGCUUUCUGAGCCUUGGAGCUGCUGGUGUGGGACUCUGGUGUUUUUCCUGCCUUCCUGGGCUCCAAGACAUCCUAAGGAGAAAACCCCAUGCUCAGACACUUAGGCAGGACAGUUCCAGGACACUGGGAUUAAGCGGUGGUACCCGGCAGUUUCCUCAGACAGGUCGGGGCACUGCAUCCACUGCUGCUGUUAACCCGGGAGGUCCAGCGCCUGGCUCCUGGGGGUCCAGCUUGGCUGCCUUUUCCUAGGCCCCCCUCAGGCCUUGGCUCUUACAAUAGACUGCCACUUCUGGGACCCU
rnacentral:lncRNA from 1 species